rnacentral:rRNA from 1 species
GAGUUUGAUCGUGGCUCAGAUUGAACGCUGGCGGCAUGCCUUACACAUGCAAGUCGAACGGCAGCACGGGAGCUUGCGUCCUGGUGGCGAGUGGCGAACGGGUGAGUAAUGCAUCGGAACGUAUCCUGGAGUGGGGGAUAACGUAGCGAAAGUUACGCUAAUACCGCAUAUUCUGUGAGCAGGAAAGCGGGGGACCUUCGGGCCUCGCGCUCUUGGAGCGGCCGAUGUCGGAUUAGCUAGUUGGUGAGGUAAAGGCUCACCAAGGCGACGAUCCGUAGCAGGUCUGAGAGGAUGAUCUGCCACACUGGAACUGAGACACGGUCCAGACUCCUACGGGAGGCAGCAGUGGGGAAUUUUGGACAAUGGGGGCAACCCUGAUCCAGCCAUGCCGCGUGAGUGAAGAAGGCC